rnacentral:lncRNA from 1 species
AAUUUUUAUUUGUGAUGAAUGUAGUUUUGCAGAUUUUGAAGACAUCAAGACUCCGUGUGUUUAAGUCAUAGAGUUUGUUUAGGAGUUACAAAUUAUAAUUUUGUAUGUUUUAGAUCUUUCACGCGAGAAGUUCAUUGUUUUGGUGAUGGCAAUGAAUUUUAAUUUUUUUUAAUUUUGGAGAGUUGAGCGUUGUGAAUAUUUUGAUGUAUUUUUGAGUUUUGUCACGAAAUUGCCAAAGGGGGAGAUUGUUACGGAUUUUAUAUUGGCAUAUUUCAUGAAGUAAGUCAGAGUCUUGAAAGUUUGAAGAAGAAGAGAUGAAGAUCGAAAACUCGAAGACUCAAAACAUGAAUCCACAAUGCUCGGUAAGUUUAAAUACUAUUGAUGAUGAUUUAUAAUUAUUUAAAAGUGUUUGGAAGACUUAGAAUGGUUUCAAAAUAUAAUAUCUGGACUAAACUGAGCCUUUCAAGAUUCGGGGACCGGUCCCUGAACUGAGAGACCGAACCCCGUAGAUUCUCUCUGCGUGAAGACUGCGAGGGGCCGGUCCUUAAAGUGGAGAGACCGGAUCCCGUAAGUUGAAUUUUUCAUUACGCAGCGAGGGACCGAUCUCUGAACCGAGGGACUGGUUCCCGCAACUGGUUUUUCCCAUUGCGCAGGGAGGGACCGGUCCCUGGACAGAGAGACUGGUUCCCGUGACUUGGUUUUUCUUAUGCGCAGAGAGGGACCGGUCCUUGGCUUGGAGGACCGGUCCCCCAAGGACCGAUCUCUUCGGGAGGACUGGACCCUAAGACCGUCGUUUGUUACAAAAAAUCAGUUUUUUAAAUCCUAGUCUAUCUCUAAAUCUUCUAAAUUGAUAAAUAAGAUGUGAGGGUGUUUCAAAAGUACGGCUAAGCAUAGAAUAUCUUUUUAAAACCCUAGAAGCUUGUUGGGUGCUCUUUGUCUCUCUCCAACAACAAGUUUCUAUCGGAUCAAUUCUUGAAAUCCUAAUUUCUCGUUCUUCAUGGAGAAUUGAUCCGGCUAUUGCUUAGAAACAUCUUCUACGGAUCUUUAAUGAUUAUCUAAGCAAUAAAUCAUCAUAAAUCAUAUUGUUCUUGCUCCGGACGGAGUGCGCUCGUGGAUUCGAGUGGACGUCGUGGAUUCGGCAUGAUCAAGGCUUCGUGGAUUCGAAGUGUUGGAGUUUCGUGGAUUCGGGACAUGGCGUUCGUGGAGUCGGACGUGGGGCGUGGACAACCCGUUGGUGUGCGCGAGAUCCAGAGAAGAUAAAAGAGAGGUUUGAGUCCGUGGAUUCGGUAAAUCACCUUGUAAUCUUUUAUUUCCUAGUGGAUUGUUAUCGCGUGUUGGUCCCGUGGGUUUUUUACUCCAAGUUGGAGUUUUCCUACGUAAAUCUCGAUGUGAUUUUUAUUUUCCGCAUUUACUUUUAUUGCAUCGAGAUUGGUUUUUGGCCGUUACACCUAUUCACCCCCCUCUAGAUGUUGGAUACAAUCUAGAUAGAUCUUUGGGCACCCCAAAACUUACAAAUUUAAACUUAAAUCUGAGUUAAAUUUAUAAUUAAAAUUUAAGACAUAAAUUAAAUUUACAAUUUGAAUUUAAAGUUUAAGUUAUAACUCAUAACUAAAAUUAAAUUUUAAAAUAAAAGUUCAAUAUGGAAAUUACAACAUUUAUUCAAAUUUGAAUUCAAAUGUAACGCCCCAAUUUCCCAGGGGUCACCCAUUCUAGGACAACUCCUAUCCUAACAAGCUNCCUUGUACCGGUACACGGGCUCCUGUACCGGUACAAGAGCCAACCCGAGAGCAGCUAAAUCUGUGCGCGUAGCUUGUACCGGUACAGAAAACCCUUGUACCGGUACAGCAAGCAUUCCCCGCGCUGGUUGUACCGGUACAGCAUAGUCUUGUACCGGUACAGCAAGCAGGAAAAUCUGCUAUUUUGCAGAUUCCUUCGCUGAAUGCUGCCCUCGCGUCGCACGGAGUCCGUUUUUCGUCUAUUUGACGUCAACGCGACUCGGACUUGUCCCGACACUCUCCAGAGCUGUCGACAAGCCUCCACAGUCAAACACCAGAGAUCUCACAUCAUAAUUCAAACUGAAUAUUUGAAUUCAUAAAUUGAAUUCAAAAUUCAAACUGAAACACAAUUUAAAUUAAAUGUAAAUAGCAAAUUUAAAUUUGAAUUUGAAUUUAAACUUAAAAAUUUGAAUUUUUUAAUUUGAAUUCAAAGUUCAAAUUGAAGUUCUCAGUGAAAAUUAAUUAGAUUAGAAUUUAAAUUUCAAAUUUUAAAUUUACAUUCUAGAAUUCAUAUUUAAAUAAAAAUAUAAAUUUUAAAAUUUAAAUUUAAAUAUAAAGUCAUAAAUUUGAGUUUAAAAAUUUUAUGUUGAUGUUGAAUUUACAAAUAAAAUUCAAAAUGUGAUCAUAAUUUUAAUUAAAAUUUAAAGUGAUAUUCAACUUUAAAAAUAAUUUAAAAGAUUAAAGUUAAGACCAAAUAUGACCUUUUAACUAUUUCCUCACUUUCGAUGACUUAUGAAUUUUUUGAGCCGAAAUAAAAAAAGUGAAAUUUAAUUAUAACUCUAUAGAGUUCCGAGGGUUUGGUAUCGGAUUGGUUUCAGUAUUAGUGACUGGUCGACACAUCUGGAGAGUGUCGGACUGAGUCGGAGUCGUUUUUACACGAAAUGGAUGUAGAAAUGGACUCGGCGCACUCAAAUAAGUAAAACUAGAGUUUUGCCAGUUUUAGGCGCCCAGAACAUGGUUUGGGAUGCCCAGAUCUUGAGUGCUGAACUGAACUGAAUUGGAAACCAAUUUGGAUCCUGUGUUCCGAGUGCCCCAGAAGUGAGUCCGAAUGUUUCACUUUGGGAAUAUCGAUUGUGCUGACACGUGUCUGGUGGAGGGUAAGGUCCGCCGGACCAGGAUAAGGGCACAGUAGACCACGGGCGAAGGAACCGAAGAGGAAUGUUUGUAUAGUCUGGAGGUUUCGGACGCCCAGAAUAUGGUUUCAGGCGCCCAAAAGUGCCCGUUCCUGCAGGACAGCAGGUUGGCAGCUCUUGUUCCUGAGGCUUAUUUUAUCCUCUCACCUCCCUAUAAAUAGAUGGUAUUCGACUCCUGAGAAGUCUUUUCAUCCCUUCUUCACAGAGAAGCUAUAUUUUGCAUCUUAGCCCCUCAAAUUACUCCAAAUUCUAUAAUUUGCACCUUGAGGACUGCAGUUCAGCAGAAUUCCAGCAGCGACCUUCGGCGUUUUGGCUCGUGUACAACGUAGGAAGUUCGGAUUGCUGCGAAAUUUGGUUUAGUGGUUAGCAGACUGCUUGGAGGUUUCAUGGAACCCAUUUUGAUAGAAAUUGAUUGAGGUUUGUAUAGUCAAUUUCGUAUUUUCCUAAGCUGUUGGUAUUUUGGAAUUGAAAUUGAGUUUUCUUUGGUUUUCUUGGACCAAUGCUGGGAGGGAGCUGGAAUUGCAACCUGAGAUUGAUACUUCAUCAUAGUUCACUGGAUUUGGGACCUUUUAUCACCUGAUUUGAAGAUUGGAAGGUGAAGUCGACAUUGAGAUUGAGGCUAUUUUAAUCUUAAGUGCUGAAUUUUGGAUUAUUGAUGGAGUUUUGGUGAUUUUUGUGUGUAGACCUAUCGAGUGCUGUUGCUGGUUCGAGGUUGGUGUCGGCAGGAUUCCAUCAAUCGCUUGUUGUCGACGAGCUGUACUUGAGAUGGGUUAAUCAUCGGAUUCUCUUCCUAAGUGUAGGCAUAGUCAACAUGUAUAUAUUUUUAGUCUUGAUAUAUCUUGUUUUUAGCUCUAAUUCAUCGAUUGGCAUGUUGAUUGAAAUCUGAAUCUGGAGCAUACAGUAGUGAGUUAGAUAAUGUAUACAUGUUGGAUUUGAAACUUGACUUAGGAGAAAACUAACGAUUCUACACCGUCAUUUGUUAAAACUACCAGAUUUAUUUUUAGGAGCCGUAGUUUGUUUGUAUCGCCGCACUUUAUGAGCGGUGGAUAACCAGGGUAGUGUAAAAUACUUUUACGCUCGUGCUGAGAUGCCGAGCUAAUUUUUAUAGCAGUGUUCAGGUUGUUCCGAACUGUUGGGUACCGUUGAGGUUGACGGUGGACCCGAAUUGCUGCUUUUGCAUCAGAUUGUGCUGAGGGCACGUGAGUUUGGUUGCUAGACCCUGUUUAUUUGACUAUAGCCUGUGAGAACCUGAUUGAGCUCGGCAGAGACACGCUUGCAUACUCGGUUGGGUAGCGCCCACGAGUGCCACUCCGGAGUCGGGCUUAGUGCGUUUGCAUUGUUGUCGGUUUGUCCUGGUUGGACUUGCUCUUCACUGACGACCUAGCGUGGUGGCAGUUAGUGUAGCUUCGACAGGCAGGGCGGGUGUGUUCACAGUCCCUAGUGAGAUUGGGUCAGGAUUUACAUUUUCUACAGAUAAUUAGUAUUGGAUCAUGAUAGUAUAGCGGCAUAUAGCUCUAGUUGUUUCCAAUUCCUUUACUAUCUUUGAGCAUACUUUCUAUAAACUUGUUCGGUGAGCCGAUGAGUUUGAGGGCGGUACCCACUGAGGACUACUUUGUUUUGCAGUAGUUCUCACGCCCAGCUGUUACCCCUCUUUUUGCAGAGCCUUCUUCUACGGCUGCUACGGUUGCGGAGACUGAUCGUGGAAAGGGUGUUGCGAGUUAGAGACUUUUCUGACGAGUCACAGAGCUAGAGGAGUACCAGCUACAGGUAGUAUAGUUGUAGUUUUUAGUUUAUUAUACAUACUGAUGUUUGUAUCUCGCUGGAGAGAGUGUUUUUAUAUACCGAGAUGCUAUGUAUGUAUAGUGAACCUUUGUUGUUUAUUUAUGUUUUAUUUCGGCAGCUCUAUACUACUGGUUGUAGUGUUGUAUGAUUACGGGUACAGGUACUACUUCGCUUCGUAUACAGAAAAAAUUUCUAUGUAUACGGCGAGUCUGUUAAUGUGCCCGGGGAAACGAGUAAACCGGGGUAUGACAAACUCAUUUUAUCAGCCCAGUUUUGUAAAGUGACUUUCAUAUUUACUUUCGCAAACCAAACAACCGAUAAGGCGUCACUUUUCAAAAGUGCCAUUUUCGAUGCUUCACUUUCGGCCAACCAAACAUGCCCAUAAUAUAGAUAAGUAUGAAGUAUAGAAAAAAUUAUUAUUAGAUAAGUUGUUAAAUAAGAUGGAAUAUGAAUAUUAUAUAUGCGACAAUUAUUAGGAGAUAGGGUAUGCGUAUAAAAGGUGGGAUUUGAUACGCAUUGUCUAAGAUUACAACUGCAUACAUUAUGUUCGGAAGUUGUUUGACACUAUUCAAUUUUGCAAGUCUGUAUGAUUUGAAUUCUUGCUAAUUUUAUAUAAAAGUAAACUAUCCUACCAUCACUUUAGGUAGAAAUCAAAUUUUAUUAAAUAAGAUUGUUGUGAAAAUUUCUUUGAUAUAAUUUAAACUUAAAUAUAAAUUAAUUAAUUUAGAUUAUACAAGAUUAUUAUAUUUGGUAAAUGAAAAAUGCUCUGCUUAUAAAUAAAUUUCACAAUGUUUUACAAACUCUAUAAUUCAGAGAUUGAAUUUCAACUUUAAAAUUAGGGAGCGUUUGGUUCGCAAUAUAAAAGAUUACUAAGAAUAAAAAGAUGUCUAAGAAUCUUAUUUCUAUUCAUCCUAUUACAAAGAAUGUGGCAUUCCUGUGUUUGGUUCGUACAGUCAUAUUAUUUAGCCAUAGUAUUUUAGAUUACAAAAAAUAUACAAUUAAUUUAUUUAUUUCUUUAAUUAAUUUUAGAUAAUGCUACUAAAAAUUUCAACAUCUUUUUAGAAAAAUGGGAGAGAGAACAUACGUUCGAGAGAGAGAGAGCAUAAUUAAAGAAAUAGAAAGAUAAAUAGAGUCAAGGUUAGAGGGAGUGAGAGAGUUGAAAUUUUAGAAGAAGAGGGGGAGAGAGACUUAGUUUAGAGAGAGAAAAAAAAUUGAAGUUUAAAGAGAAAAAGAUAAGUUUAGAGAGACAUAUGAAAUUAGAUUGUAAAGAAAAAUAAUAUCAAUUAGUCAGCGGAUAGGGAGAAAGAAAGAGAUUAAAUAUAUUAUGAUUAUCCCAAUCCAUUAAUAUGAGGAUACCCACCGUCCCUCAAGGGAAUGAGAUUAGUACUUUGGGUUGAAUUAAUCUCAUUUUCAAGUAAAUCAAAUAUUACCAACUAGAUUACUUAGUGCGUUUAGCCAAACACCAUCAUAUUUUUUUAUUCCUAUUGGAUUACUAGGAAUCUUAAAAAGAUAGCGUGAACCAAACACACCCUUAAGGUUAAUUUCAAAUACCACCCAUGUAGUUUAACGUUUCUCACUUUAAUACCCUGUUGUUUAAAGUGUAUCAAAUUAGUACCCUAUGAUUUUAUUUUUCUCUUUUCGUCAGCUCCUCCGUUAACAUUUCAUUAAAUUAUAUACAAAAAACUUCAUAUACUUCACCUAUAUUUAUCGCAUAUUCAAUUUAGUACCUUUUAGUUUUAACUUUGUCACUAGUUCACUGAAAAAAAUUAGUGGAGGGAAAAAUAAAAAGAGAAAAAUAAAAUCACGGGGUACUAAAUUGAUACACUUUAAACCAUAGGGCACUAAAAUAAAAAAAGUGCGAAAUCACAAGGGUAGUAUUUGAAGUUUUUCCUUAAAAUUAUAAGUCAUGCUUACCUUCUUGUGAUUCAUCAAUUCUCCAUCAAUUAAACAUCACAUGUAUGCUAGAUUGUAAAGUGUUGUAAAAUUUGUUUGUAAGUAUAGGAUUUCUCGGUGGGUAGGGGUGGACUCAAAAUGGGUUAAUUUAUUUUACUUUUUGCUCUUACUCACCGCUUCAUUCGGGGUAGAAAGGGGCGGAAGAAGAUCUUCGGCCGAUCAGAGAGAUCAAAAGAAGUAAGGGGUCCUCUACCUCUCUCUCUAUUUCUUAGAGAAUCGGAAUAGAUUCCAGACACUAUAUAUUUUUUUUCUUUAUUUUUUGCUCCCAUUACUGCCCUAUUUGGGGUAGAUCGAGUAGGGAGCUCCACAAACCCGAACCUAUUUGCAUCCCUAAUUUGAAUCAAUUAUCAACGUCAUUAAAUAUAAUUUAUGGCAUGUGAACUUCCUAAAAAUCAAGUUUUUUAGUAUUUUGACAUUCUUUACAUAUUGUUUGAAUAGUCUCAAAAUUAAUAAUUUUCAAUGAUGUAUUUAGGGUGUAUUUGAGAUCGCUUGAUCAUUGGGAAGUUCACAAGCUGUAAAUCAUAAUUAACAUAUCAAACUGCAAUUCUAGCACCCUACCAUCAAAACUGAUAUCGAAGUUUUUAGGGCUGAUGCUUAUAAAACUUUUCUAGCUCACUACCAUUAUUUUUUUUUUUAAAAUAAUGAUAGCAUGCUACGCGCUUUGUUUAUUUUUUUUAGAAAUAAACUUAACUGGAAAUGUGAAUCAGUUAGGAUUCAAACUUAAAACCUUGGAUAUCAACCACCAAAUCCUUUGUCACUUGCGCUAGGGACGGUCGGUAGCUCAAUUCUAUUAUUAACUUAAUAAUAAACAUCAUUAUGCAUUCAUCAUCUAAAAGGUGGAAGGUCCAAAGUAGAGGAUAAAAUUAUCUAUACCUGUACAUUAUUCCUCUUAAAUUUGCGACAUAGUAGCAUAUCCUUCAUUAUUCAGUGUGGGCUCUAAUUAGAACUGGCUCAGAUCCUCUACAUAUUUUCUUCUUUUUUGGCUUGAAUCAAAUUGGAUUUUUCUCUUUUUUUGCUUGAACCGAAUUAAUUAUUGUUAAGUGUAGACUCUUCCGAAUCGGCUCAAGUCUUCUACAUGUUUUUUUCUUUCUUUACUUGAAAUGAACUUGAUUUCUCUCUUUCUUUACUUGAAUUGAACUAGAUCAACAUUUUUUUGGCUUGAACCGAACCGGAUCACACCUCUACAUUGAGCCGAACUAUUCUUCUUCCUCUUCCUUCAGUUUCUUUCAUUGGCAAGAUGAAUCUCACCCUUUACCGUCAUUCCUUUUAUUGCCGUUUUCUCUUCUUUUGUCGUCUUUUUUUUUUUAUUUUUUUCAAUUAUCUAUCCGUCGUAUCGCACGUAUUACUAUACUAGUUAAGCAACAAAUACGAUUGGUUAGUCCACAAAGACUAUUAACACUUCUUACUAAGAAAAUAGACAUUAAUUAAUAAUUAAUAGUGUUUUAAGAUCACUGCCACAAUAAAUUAAUUACUUUAUUGACUAUUACUUUUUGUUUGAUUACAAUCACAUGGAUUAGAAUUCUCCCCAUUCUUUGAAUUGAAGCGUUGAUAACGCAUACCAUCACUUGACUAUACAGCAGUGGUGUAAUUUUUAUUCUCAUCAUAUCGCUAUAUAUUCCUGUUGCAUUUAUGAAACGUCUUUUCUCAGCCAAAAGAAAAAAAUAGUUUAUAUUACGUACCUUUUUAAAAUUUUCUUUUGUGGACAAGAAUUUUGUGGGUAUCGUCCCCAAAUAACUUGUUUGGGGAUGAUACUGAUGCGCGCCGUGUGGCGUGCGGGUGCCCAUCGCGACCCUUGGAAACGAAAAAAGGAAAAAAAAAUUUGAGGGCUCCGAAUUUUUAGAGAGAGAGAGAGAGAGAGAGAGAGCAUGGUAAGAGAAAGGGACAGUCAUGAUGGGCACCCGCACACCACACGGCGCCCAUCGGCUCUGUCCCCAAACAACUUGUCUGGGGAUGGAUGCCCAUAAAAUUUUUGUCCUAAUUUUGUGUUCAACAUAAGACUUUUCAUGAAUAAUUGUCACAUGCAUACAAUAUUAAUGUAGACGUACCUGUGCACAUGUAAGAGACUUUUUUGAGAUGUAGUGUGAAAAAUUGGUUUAGUUUUGACUUAAAACUAUUUAUGGACAAAAUUAAAUCAAAAUAAAAAACCUAGUGGACAAAAUCAAAGAGAUGAACGGAACGUUCGAAUACUCUAUAGUGCCCCAACUUCCAACCAUAGUUAGUUAAUUCGGAUUCGGCAAAAAUUCGGUAUGAAUAUAAUAUGUAUAAAAUUCGUUUUCUAAUUUUUAAAUUCGUUGAAAAAUUCGGCUUAAAAAACGAAUUCGGUAUAAAAUAUAAAAUAUAAGAUAUAAAAUAUAAAUCAAUUUAUAUUUAAAAAUAAAAUUAUAAGUUUUUUAUUCAUAUUUUCAAUAAUUCGGCAAUAAUUCGUGAAUAAUUCGCGAAUAAUUCGGUUGGCUCAAAAAUUCGUGAAUAAUUCUCUUUCUUUUGGAAAAAUUCGUAAACGGACUGUUUAAUUCGGAUUUUCAAUAAUUCGCGAAUAAUUCGCGAAUUUACUAACUAAUUCGCAAAUAACGGCAAGGUUUUAUUGGAUGGUUAACUUCCAAACGUUAUUGGAACUUUGACUUUGGUAGAACCAACUAAUAUCCAUGAAAAAAACUAUGAAUCUAUACAUAUAUUAAAGGCUGAGUUUUACUGUGGCCUACGUGGCGCUUUCUCGGCGCCCCCCGCUUGCCCCGCAUUGCGUGGGUGCUCCGCGCUCGCCCCGCGUUGCGUGGGUGCUCGGGAGGGGUGCGUGUCGCCCUACCCGCGUCUCCCGCACCCUGUCUCCUGACGCCGCGGGAUCUUGGGUUCUUCUGUGGCCUACGUGUCGCCUCCUCGGCGCCCCGCUCCUCUCGCGCCCCUUCGAAGCGCCCCCGCGUUUGGCGGGGGCUUCGGUGGCCCCCACAGCGGGGCCGGCGGCAGCGGCGGUCACCUCCUCAGCGCCCCCCUCCUCUCUGCCGUUUCUCCUCGAGCGGGCGCGGGCAUGCGACGGGCCGCGCACAGCCCUCCUCGAUCCGGGCCCCCACCUCCUCCUCUCUCCGAUCCGGCCCCUCCUGUCAGGUGUUUGUCGGGCCCUACCCUGACCUCCUCCUGCAUCCAAUGCGGAGGGUCGCGCUUCUCCCUGCAGCUCCCGCAAACCCCGGGCCUUUGUCGCCCUGCUACGGUGUGCCUCCUUCCACCCCUCCCCAUCCCUGCCACCGCCGAAACUUCCUCGCCCAAUUCCAUGGUUUGCUCUCUGUCGCCUCUCUCUCUCUCUCUCUCUCUCUCUCUAUCUAUCUCUCUCUACUGAGUGGAGCAAGGGGAGCUCCAAGAAUUGUUCGUUUUGCUGCGCCCCUCAUAUGUUUGAUGCAAUGUCUACUAGAGUCUUUUCUCUAAUUCUCUCUCCACUAUCAAAUUUUUUUGAUUUUACUAUGCUUGCUCUUGCAAUCUAUUGCUUAAUUGAAAUUUUAUGUUUUGUUUGAUUCUUAUAUAUUCUUUCUUAUUGCUUUCUUUAUCCAAAAACAAAGUUAAGAACUUUUAUUUGAAAAAGAAUUCUGAUAAUAGGCGGUGAUGAUGAGUUGAAACACCACAAUGUAUUCGGAAGUUCGAUUCUUGAUUAUAGGUUUCAUACAUUGAUGAUGAAGUUUCAUAAGGUCUCUAUCUUCUCUUUUAAGUAUUUUUCGAAUUCAUAUUAGAAGGUUUGGACGGUGAGGCAGUAUGGAUGGCCACAUGGCAACCACUGCAGCUUUGAAUCCUUUGCAAAAGUUUGGUUUGCACUUGAAGAGAAUGGACAAUUCCAUUUGCAGUUAUCAAGUUGAGUUCUUUUAAUGUUUCGUAUGAUUUCUUCGGCUGUUUGGUAAAAAGAAAUUAAUCCUUCUUGGAUUUGUUUUCUAUCUUUUUUUUGCCUCUUAAGAUUUUUGUGUGGGAUUUUGAUUAUUUUCAUUGGUAUCAAUUACCUUAGCUUUCUAAAAUUCCAUCGCUAAAAAGAAAAGUGGGUUACUAUUUAUUUUCUGUUUUAUUGAAGGAUAUUUCCUUUGCUGUUUCUUUCUUUCUCCUGGCUCUUCUUUGAGGCGAUGAUGAUAAGUUGAGGGAAGUGCGAAAAAUAUUUUCUUCGAACAAGUUGAGGUUUGGAUGGCCUACUCAUAGGCAACCGCCUUAUAUUGUCUUAACUUUGGUGGUUGCGCACAUUCCCCUCUAACGGUAGUUUAUUGCUUGGCAACCGGAAAGUGUGGAAAAUGUUUACUUCGUACAAGUGGAAGUUUGGACGGCUUACUCAUAGGCACCGGCUACAUAUUGUCUUACCCUUGCUGGUUGUGCACAUUUUCCCACAAUGGUAAUUUCUUUCUUAGGCCCUGCUUCCUACCAUUCUUAUUCUUAGCGGCUGCGCACAUUUCCCUCCUACGGUAAUCUAUUGGUCCUACUACUACCCUAUACUUAUGAGCAAUGCUGUCGAGUGCUUAUGAGCAAUGUUACCAAUUUGACUUAACUGAGCCUUACCUUUUUGUCCCCUUUUAGGGUGAUUCUUUAAAUUGGUUUUGCAACAGAAUUUAUACAACUGUUUGAAUUGUUCCCUGUUUAUCGACCUUUUAAAUAUUCUUCUUCGUUUGGCUGUCGGCAUUUGAAUUGAAUUCUUCCUGUGGUUUUUUUUUUAUACAUAAUCUUUUGAUGAUUCUUUAGAUUAUGUUUUUUUAUUCAUUUACCAUAGUCUAUUAUAGUAUUUUCAUUGAGCAUAAUAGAGCUAUUUAAUUUAAGCUGAAGAGAGUACAUAACAUAUUUACUUCGAACAAUGAUUCCCCAAUGAACUCUCUGUUGUCAUUUUAAUUUACAUUGUCUGCUACACUCUCUUGCUAUUAUGAUGAUUAAUAGGUAGUUUCAUGCAUUUUUACUGUCCUUUUGCAUUCUGAAAUCUGAGGCCUUGAUAUUGACAGUACAAACUUAUUUGACUGGCCUUCAGAAUGAUCUGAUGUUUAGUUGUGCUCAGCUUUGGCAUUCCUAUUUUGUUUAAGCUGAAAAAAAAAGUUGCGCUUCGAUAACCUGAUCCCUGGGCAACCAGCUGUAGAUUGCUUUGUUUGCAAUGUCCAUAUAGAUUAUAACUCAAAUUGCAUUAUUAAUCAAGAAGGUUUCCGUGCUAAUCUAAUAAUAAUGUUUAGUGGGGGGGGGGCUGAGCAUAUUAUAUUUGUUUAUUUCCACCCUCAUUCAUGUAUACUAUUUGGUGUGAUUUUCCUGAGCUGAUUUACUAUAGAGGUUUCCAUCUUUCUUUCAAGUAUUUGUUUAAUAAUACAGUUGGGGAUUUUGAUGCUUUGCGUAUCACUUGCUUUGGUUCAGCAUGCAGCUGUUGGGGUUAAAAAAGCAUGUGUUUUCAGUUAGAUUGGUCUUUUUUGGUGUAUCCGUAAGUGCCUAAGAACUACAGAGUUUCUUGGUGUCGAAUGUACAGGCAAAGUUUCUUUAGUUUGGACAAUGGAAGCUUUGAACUUUCUUUCACUAACUCUUGGUACCUAUAAUAACAUAGAAGCAAAACCGAGCAUAAACCAUGUAUCAAGUUGCUUUUGUACUUCGAAAUAUAUGGCUCAACCUAUUAGCGCCAGCGAAUUGUGUGUUCAUUCUUUCUGUUGAGUACGACUGACACUUUGUUUCAAGUACUUUGAAGUUGUAUCCUAACUACCAAAACAGUUUAUAGCAAAACUCAAUCAAAUGCAUUCAAAUUAAGCAUCUCUGAAUUUUCUUGAUUCGGAACUUAACUCUGAGGCACAAUGGUGAAUAUCUUUCAAAAUAUCCAAAAGAGGAAACUUGGGUGCAACAAUUUUAUAACAGUUACAGCAUUUAUUCUCCACUUCCUUGCAUAUAGCCUCUAUGCUAGGCAUAUGAAAACCCAUAUAAGCAAGCGCAGAGGGAUUACAUGUCAACAAAAGUUUAAUGGCUCCCAAAUUUUGAGGUAGCUGCUUCAAGCCGGUGUAUGUAGUUUGGUGUCAUUUGCACAGCCUGAUUUACUAUGGAAUUUCAAUUUUUUCCCGUCGAUUUCACCGUUGAUGUUGCUAUUUUCUAUCUUUUCUUUGAGGCGAUGAUGAUAAGUAGAGGAAAACGUGAAAAAUGACGGUUUCGAACAAGCGGAAGUUUGGACGGCCUAUUCAUAGGCAACCACUUCCUAUUGUUCUUAUCCCUGGUCAUUGCACACAUGUUCCUCCUACGGUAAUCUAUUGCUUCCUCCUAUUACUAUUUUGUGCUUACGAGAAUUUUCCUGACUUAAACUGAGCCUUACCUUUUUAGGUUUUUCAUGAAGACUGCUUCAAUUUUUUCUGCGGUGAACUAUUGCUUGCUCCUAUUUCUAUCCUGGUUCCGGCUGUGUGCUUCAGGGGUGGUUAAUCUCCUUUGCUAAUUUUGGGGGUGCUGACUUCUUCUUCUUCUUCUUUCUCUUUUUUCCCUCUUUCUUUCUAUCUUCCUCUCCCUUUCCCUGUUCUUCCCUGCUGCCAGCUGAAUUUCAGCAGUAGCAGUUGUUGUCGGGGCCAACAGUAUAUCAGCAGCAGCAGGCUGCAUCAACAACAGCAGCCUCUGCAAUAGCUGUGGUGGCAGCGUCUACUGUGGGAAUUGUGAAAAUUUGGAACUUAUAAUUACUGAAUUGGGUCUUAGUCGAGAAUUAUUUGGUGGGGGAGAGCUCGAGGAUCAUAUCCUUUCACCAAAUUGCAGGUUAGAAGGUUUGAAUUUGAGCCAGUUUGGAGCCUUAAGCUGAAUUUUGCAUUAUAUUGAUUUUUCGUUUAGUUUUCGGCCAAUUCUCUUAGUUGAGAUUGCGGGGUCCUGAAUUGGAUUUGUGCUAGAGAUUUCAUGGAGGAGAGGAGCUCUUGGAUGGCUUUACUUUAGCUAAAAUUCAGGUUACUUGAAAUGUAAUGGGUGCAUUUUAGUUAUUUAAGCUGAAAUUUCAUCAUGUUGAUUGAAUGGUGAAAUUAAGUCUAUUCCCACCAAUUCCUUAUUUGAAGCUGUGAUUCCUUUAAUUCUUCUUCUGUUUUUGGAGUUGAAAGCUUAAGAAAUUCCACUACAGUCUGGUAGCAAGGUUGGUUGAUCUUUGGUUUAGUAAAAUUUUAAAUUUUUUCCGUCAAUUUCGCUAUUGAUGCAACUUUGUAUUGGAGUAGUUUACCUCCUGUGCUGAUUUUGGGGGCACUGAAUUCUUGCUAGAUUGGAGGCUGAGGAGAAGUGUGUUUGUGAUCGAUUCAGCACUAUAGUUGGGUUAGCACUUGAGGUGGGUUUUAUUAAUUAAAUUUGAUGGAAUAGUUGGGUUAGCACUGUGUACUAAAUUCCUACAUACAUGCUAUUCAAAUACAUGCUUAUAAUCAAUCUACUCAAUUAUAUUGGCAUAGCUUCAUGUUAAAUAUUUUGUUUAUCGAAAACUUUUAGUGAUGAUAACCGUUUUUCCCAAUGAUGUCAGUUCAAAUCGGAGCAAAUUUAUGCAUUGAUUUGUCGGAGCUGUGGCUUAGUUAUUUGACAUAAUGCUUUUGAGGUUUUGUCUAGAAAAAACUCUUGCUUAUUGCCUUUCCUUUAGCAUGAUUUGCCAAAAAAAAGAAAUUCCUAGAAUCCGCAAGUCCCUUUUUGGUUCCUGUAUGUUUUCCAAAAAAGAUAACAAUCAUGUUUCCUACAUUUUCUUGCUGGCUGUAGGUUCUUUGUUGCUCUUUGUAGAUGUGUUCUGUGUGGUUUAUAAUAAUGCUUUGUUAUUUCUUGGGUACUUUGGCUUCACCUAUUUUUGUGCAUGCUAUGAUGACUGCCUCUUGAUUUGUCAUUUCUUGGGUACUUUGUGUGGUGUAUGUGUGUUUUAACAUGUUUUGUGUUGAGUUUCUGUGUUAGUUUUUAUUUUAUAAUCGCCUUAUGUUUUGUGGGCUAUGAUGGCUGCCUCUUGAUUUGUCAUUUCUUGGGUACUUUGUGUGAUGUAUGUAUGUUUUAACAUGUUUUCUGUUGAGUUUUUGUGUUAGUUUUUAUUUUAUAAUCGCCUUAUGUUUUGUGGAUUUUCUAUUUUAGUUUUCUUUUUCGGGCUAUGAUGCUUUUGUGCCUUUGAUCGCCACAUGAUACUAUUGGCCAUAUCUUUUCCUUCUGUUGUAAAAGUGAGGAUAUUCAGUGAUUAUACUUAGUGUGCAAUAUUUGGAUGGCCUAUUAUAUAGGCAACCAGUUGUGACUACUUAUUUGAGAUAUAGAUUAGAACUCCGGUUGGUACUUUUUAUGUCAAGAUGGAUUCAGGCUAUAUGUGGUCCCCGCUUAUUUUUUCCGUCUGUGUUAUUUUCCUGCAGGUCGGACUUGGGAA